rnacentral:lncRNA from 12 species
CAGAAACUGCAAUUAUGGAGACACCUCUCUCUCUCUUCUAACAGAUACAAGAGUCACACUGCACCCCAGGAGAAGACCAGAAUGGACUGGUUGGGCUUCAAGGAGCAAAGUAGUUUUGAGACGUCUCUCACUGAGAACUCGGACUUCUUCCUCUCCUCAAGGGUCUUCUCUGGAGACUUCCAAAGGAAACUAAAGAGCAGAAAAAAGCACACUGUCACACGACCAGGGGAACUUUGCUUUUACAUAAUUGUAAAGAAAGCAAAUGAGUCUUUCUGGGUGACUUUCUGCCAAGAGUGUGAGGUUUAGAGCGUGGACUAGGGGUGUGAGAGAUGCAGGUAUUACUCUGCCAGUGAAAAGGGAAGAUUGCAGCCAGUGCAAUCAGGAUUCUGGCUUCUAAUUCAAGGCUGGAGAAGUGAUUGACUGUAGCCUAAAAGUGGGUUAGUAGAGUUUAAUUUCUGCCUUUCCCACUGUCCUGGAGUAACCUAUUG